UUUAUUAUUCAUAGUGAUCCCGGAUAUAUUUCACUACAGAUACAAGCUUUAAACCUCGUUUUUAUAACAUCACUGUACAACCUGCAUCACCUCACUCCGCAGGUCAUGGGACUGAUAGUUCACAUCUUUGCUGCAAUAUUCGCUUUGAACUUCCUGGGACGACCCUCCUUGCAGCUAGAGCAAUCAGUUCUGGAUCUAUUUCCAGAGUUUACUAGGUUGAAACAGGAUAUCAAGUCUGAACUAGCAUCUAUAAAGUCGAAGCUUCAGAGUGGACAAGAUAAGAGAGUUGCAUUUCAUGCAAAACUACAACCAAGGAUUGAAGUUAUGGAGCCUUCAAAGACAGUGGUAUUUGAUUACGUUAUCACAAACAUUGGAAGUGCUUAUAACAAUCGAAAUGGGCAUUUUACUGCUCCUUAUGAUGGAGUGUAUUUCUUUAUUUCUACAUUUCAUUCAUUGAUGAUAUA